GCGUAACGCACUUCUUGGGCGUUUCCUCCCUAGACUCGGGCCGUCCCCUGUGGGCGGCCCUUUUUCUUUGGAAAU
rnacentral:sRNA from 1 species